UGGCUCUCGCAUCGAUGAAGAACGCAGCGAAAUGCGAUAAGUAAUGUGAAUUGCAGAUUUUCAGUGAAUCAUCGAAUCUUUGAACGCACCUUGCGCCCCUUGGUAUUCCGAGGGGCAUGCCUGUUUGAGUGUCAUUAAAUCCUCAACCCCUCCGAUUCGUUUCGGUGGGGAUUGGACUUGGAGCGUGCUGGCGAAGGUCGGCUCCUCUUUAAAUGCAUCAGCGGAGAAAAUGCCUUUUGCGCCUCUGGCCGUUCAGCGUGAUAAUGAUGUUGCGCUGCGGUCGAGCUUAAGGUCCGCUUCCAAAGGUCCUCGGACAAAUAUACAUAUGACUUUUGACCUCAAAUCAGGUAGGACUACCCGCUGA
rnacentral:misc_RNA from 1 species